rnacentral:tRNA from 1 species
GCCAGUGUGGCUCAGUGGCUACAGUGUCAGCCUGCAGACUGAAGGGUCCUGGGUUCAAUUCCGGUCAAUGGCA